UAAGCGGAGGAAANGAAACUAACAAGGAUUCCCCUAGUAACUGCGAGUGAAGCGGGAAAAGCUCAAAUUUAAAAUCUGGCGGUCUUUGGCCGUCCGAGUUGUAAUUUAGAGAAGCGUCUUCCGCGCCGGACCGUGCACAAGUCUCCUGGAAUGGAGCGUCAUAGAGGGUGAGAAUCCCGUCUUUGGCACGGAUGCCCGGUGCUUCUGUGAUGCGCUCUCGAAGAGUCGAGUUGUUUGGGAAUGCAGCUCAAAAUGGGUGGUGAACUCCAUCUAAAGCUAAAUAUUGGCGAGAGACCGAUAGCGAACAAGUACCGUGAGGGAAAGAUGAAAAGCACUUUGGAAAGAGAGUGAAACAGUACGUGAAAUUGUUGAAAGGGAAACGCUUGAAGUCAGUCGCGUCGACCGAGACUCAGCCUUGCCUCGGCUUGGUGUACUUCUCGGCCCGACGGGUCAGCGUCAAUUUUGCUCCUCGGAUAAUGGCAAGGGAAAGGUGGCACCUUUACGGGUGUGUUAUAGUCUCCUGUCGCAUGCGAGGGGUGGGAUUGAGGAACUCAGCGCGCACCUUGGUGUCGGGGCUUCUGCCCACGUCACGCGCUUAGGAUGCUGGCGUAAUGGCUUUAAACGACC
rnacentral:rRNA from 1 species